ensembl:lncRNA LINC02432 long intergenic non-protein coding RNA 2432
AAAACAGACCACUAGGCUCUACCAAUCAGCAGGAUGUGGGUGGGGGCCAGAUAAGAAAAUAAAAGCAGGCUGCCUGAGACAGCAGUGGCAACCCGCUCCGGUGUCCUUCCAUGCUGUGGAGGCUCUGUUGUUUCGCUCUUUCUACUGCUUACUCUUCGGGUCCACACUGCUUUUAUGAGCUGUAACACUCACCCUGAAGGUUUGCAACUUGACUCCUGAAGCCAGCAAGACCACGAGCCCCAGGGAGGAACGAACAACUCCAGACGCGCUGCCUUAAGAGCUGUAACACUCACCGAGAAGGUCUGCAGCUUCACUCCUGAGCCAGCGAGGCCACGAACCCACCAGAAGGAAGAAACUCUGAACACAUCCGAACAUCAGAAGGAACAAACUCCAGACGUGCCACCUUAAGAGCUGUUAACACUCACCGCGAGGGUCCGCGGCUUCAUUUUUGAAGUCAGUGAGACCAAGAACCAACCAAUUCGGGACACAAUACCAACUCUUUCAUGCCAGGAGAAGCCUCCUUAAAAAAUUUCGGUGAUUAACAGCAGCACAUGGGUCAAAAUCUCCUGAAAGUUGAGCAGGGGAGCUGUAGAAGAAUUCCUCCUUUUCUCGCAGAUGAAAUCUUAUGAUAUAGCAGGGGUUACCUGGCCAAGAAGGAACACAGAGGAGAACAAAGAAAAUUCAAGGAACUAAAUUCCUUCUCCACCUCAACCACCAGCAUUGAUACUCCAUCACUUAUGUACUGCAUCAAGCCGUCCUCAGAGGUGAGGAAGGUGCUGUCAAGACUAGAAGCAUGUGUCCCUCUCUCCAUUGCAAGAUGGGACAUAGAGAGGAGAAAAGUGGCAGACAGAAGGUUGGUAGAAAGCAGGUGUCACCAUACUGCUGUACACACAAACUGUUAGGCCUAGAUUUUGCUUUCUCCUUCUUGCUUUAAGCCUCUAUCUAGUUUCCCAAAUCCUGCUGCUUUUGCGUCAAUGGUAGGAAAAUAUUAGCCAUGAUAACCCUUCAAACACCCUUAUAAGGCUGUGAAUUGAAUGUACCAAGGGAGGUAACUUUAUUGGAGUUGUCUCUGAUAAGGGACAACUCCAAUAAAAUUAAGUAAAAAUAUUAAGAUUAUUGUUGAUCUUGAGCCAAGAAAAUGCAGGGGAAACAAUGGAAAAAUACCUUUAAAUAAUGAAAACAAAAAUAAAAUAAGAGCUGGUCUACUCACUACUUCAUCCCAUCUCGUCUGUAAAAUAAUACCAUCAGAAAAGUGUUCAAAAUUCUCUGUAGUCAAGGACUUCUCCUGCUGGUUAGAAUGCAAAAUAAUAUGAAAGACUUUUGAUCCUCUAGUAAUAUACAAGUGUAUAUAUAUUUUUUGAGACAGGGUCUUGCUUUGUUGUCUAAACUGGAAUGCAGUGGUAUGAUAUUGUCUCACUGCAGUCUCUGCCUCCUAGGCUCAAGCAAUCCUCCUGCCUCAGCCUCCCAAGUAGCUGGCACUAUAGGCAUAUGCCACCAUGCCUGGCUAAUUUUUUUAUUUUUUUGUAAAAACAGAGUUUUGCCAUGUUGCCCAGGCUGGUCUUGAGUUCCUGGGCUCAUGUGAUCCACCUGCCUUGGUCUCCCAAAGUGCUGGGAUUACAAGCAUGAGCCAGCACACUCAGCCUACAUUUUUCAAUAUGCAUGAAAUUAUAUGGUUUGGAUGUGCUCAUUUUACUAUAUUAAAGUAUAUUUCAAUAAAAAGCCAGUAGGCAUGAAAACAUAA